rnacentral:rRNA from 1 species
UGAGGAUUUGAUCCUGGUCCAGGAUGAACGUUGGCGGCGUGGAUAAGGCAUGCAAGUCGAACGGGCCAGUGCGUAGCACUGGAAUGACGAUCCGCCGGUUGGCGGAUGGAAAUUCCACUGCUAUGCAGUGGCUAGUGGCAAACGAGCUAGUAACACCUUGGUACCUACCUCCGAGAUGGGAAUAAUCUUGCGAAAGCAGGACUAAUACCCAAUGGCGCCAUACGCAUCUCACUAAGGUGAGAUGCGAAUUCGAAAUUUAAAAUUUGAAAUUCGAAAUGAAUGAAUCAAUUAUAAAAUUGAAUAAUUAAAAAUUCAUUAAAAAUUUCAAACUAAAAAUUAAAAAUUCGCACAGAACUUUAGUGAGGUGCGGGUGGCUAAAGGUUCGCAAGAACCGCUCGGUGAUGGGCCUAGGUCCGAUCAGCUAGUUGGUAGGGUAACGGCCUACCAAGGCUACGACCGGUAGGGGAGGUGAGAGCCUGUUCCCCAGCGAGGAAACUGAGACACGGUUCCUACUCCUACGGGAGGCAGCAGUCGAGAAUAUUCCACAAUGGGCGAAAGCCUGAUGGAGCGACGCCGCGUGCAGGAUGAAGCUUUUCGGAGUGUAAACUGCUUUUCUAAGGGAAGAAGCCGGUGCUUCGCACUGGAAUGACGAAUUUAGAAUUUCGAUUGAAUUUCAGAAUGUUUUAAAAAUUAACUCAUUCAAGAAUUCAUUUAAAAUUCAAAAUUAAAAAUUGGAAAUUCCAAUGCGGAGCAUUGGUUGACGGUACUUUAGGAAUAAGUCACUGCUAACUACGUGCCAGCAGCCGCGGUAAUACGUAGGUGGCAAACGUUAUCCGGAUUUAUUGGGCGUAAAGGGCGCGUAGGGGGCGCAGGCAAGUCCGUAGUUAAAUCUCGGGGCUCAACUCCGAAACCGCUACGGAAACUACCGCGCUAGAGGACGUUAGAGGUAGAUGGAACGCACGGUGUAGGGGUGAAAUCCGUUGAUAUCGUGCGGAACACCAAAGGCGAAGGCAUUCUACUGGGACGUUCCUGACCCUGAGGCGCGAAAGCGUGGGGAGCAAAAAGGAUUAAGUGUUUUUGUUUUAUAUUCACAAAUAAUUCUUCGUUUGUUAUAAACCGGAAUAAUUUUUAUUUUUCGUUUUCACGAAAAAUAUUGAACUCAACCCCUCGACGAGCUCGGGGGAUUCAAACAGCAAUAUUUUUCUAACUUCAAAUAAAAAUUAUUACGCGAUUUAUGAAACAAAUUCAGAAAAUAUUUGUUCAAUAAAACAAAAACCCACCUGAGGGUAGGUGGAAAAUAGUCCCUCCGCCGAUUGGCGGAGAUAACUCAGCUAUAUGCUGGAACACCCGAGUAUCCAACGAUACCGAAAGGUAAAAAUGCGUUGGUGCGGGCAAUCAGCAGGGAAGUCGUAAUUGACCCCUCAGAGACUAUACGCAGAGCCCGUUGCGGAGCAACGGAAUUACGAAUUUAGAAUUUCGAAUUUUGGUUGAGCAUCCAAUUAAAAAUUUGAAAUUAAAAAUUAGGAAUUCCGCGCUUUGCGCGGUGAAGAUAUAGUCCGACCUCCGUGGCGACACGGAGAGAUGAACAGAAAUGAUUCAUCCCGCGACAAUGUUUGUAAUUUUGAUUUUGAAUUUGUUUUAAAAUUUGAAAUUAAAAAUUAAAAAUUGCACUUUGUCGCGAAGCAACAAACGUGUAGAUACCCUUGUAGUCCACGCCCUAAACGAUGUUCACUAGCUGUUUCGAGUAUCGACCCUCGGGGUGGCGUAGCUAACGCGUUAAGUGAACCGCCUGGGAAGUACGAGCGCAAGCUUAAAACUCAAAGGAAUAGACGGGGACUCGCACAAGCGGUGUGGUAUGUGGUUUAAUUCGAUGGUAAACGAGAAACCUCACCAGGGCUUGAAAUCCCGACGAAGACAGUCCGAAAGGAUUGUUGUCCGCAAGGACGGCGGGACAGGUGCUGCAUGGUUGCCGUCAGCUCGUGCCGUGAGGCGUUCCCUUAAGUGGGGUAACGAGCGCAACCCCUAUCCGGUGUUACAAGUGUCACCGGAAACCGCCCCCUCUUUUGCAUCCGACGUUUUGUAUGUCGGAAUCAAAAGAGGGGGAGGAAGGCGGGGAUGACGUCAAAUCAGCAUGGCCCUUUGAUGCCCUGGGCUACACACAUGCUACAAUGGCGGAUACAAUGGGAAGCCAAGCCGUAAGGCGGAGCUAAUCCCAUCAAAGUCCGCCCCAGUUCGGAUUGAGGGCUGCAACUCGCCCUCAUGAAGCCGGAAUCGCUAGUAAUCGCGGAUCAGAACGCCGCGGUGAAUACGUUCUCGAGUCCUGUACUCACCGCCCGUCAAACCAAGGGAGCCGGGAGUGGGUGAAGCCCCCUCUUUAGAGGGUGUUAGCUCAAGUUCGGUGACACGGGUUAAGUCGUAACAAGGCACGGGUAGCGGAAGCUGUUCGUGGAUCA